rnacentral:tRNA from 1 species
UUCCUAGUGGCUCAGUUGGUAAAGAAUCUGCCUGCAGUGCAGGAGACCUGGGUUCGAUUCUCAGGGAAG